AUUGAACGCUGGCGGCAUGCCUUACACAUGCAAGUCGAACGGCAGCGCGGGAGCAAUCCUGGUGGCGAGUGGCGAACGGGUGAGUAAUGUAUCGGAACGUGCCCAGUCGUGGGGGAUAACGUAGCGAAAGCUACGCUAAUACCGCAUACGAUCUAUGGAUGAAAGCGGGGGAUCGCAAGACCUCGCGCGAUUGGAGCGGCCAAUAUCAGAUUAGGUAGUUGGUGGGGUAAAGGCCCACCAAGCCUGCGAUCUGUAGCUGGUCUGAGAGGACGACCAGCCACACUGGAACUGAGACACGGUCCAGACUCCUACGGGAGGCAGCAGUGGGGAAUUUUGGACAAUGGGCGCAAGCCUGAUCCAGCAAUGCCGCGUGCAGGAUGAAGGUCUUCGGGUUGUAAACUGCUUUUGUACGGAACGAAACGGCUUUUUCUAAUACAGAGAGCUAAUGACGGUACCGUAAGAAUAAGCACCGGCUAACUACGUGCCAGCCGCCGCAGUAA
rnacentral:rRNA from 1 species